CGGAGCGGAUAAGUGGAGCUUGCUUCCUGAUUCAGCGGCGGACGGGUGAGUAAUGCCUAGGAAUCUGCCUGGUAGUGGGGGACAACGUUUCGAAAGGAACGCUAAUACCGCAUACGUCCUACGUGAGAAAGUGGGGGAUCUUCGGACCUCACGCUAUCAGAUGAGCCUAGGUCGGAUUAGCUAGUUGGCGAGGUAAAGGCUCACCAAGGCGACGAUCCGUAACUGGUCUGAGAGGAUGAUCAGUCACACUGGAACUGAGACACGGUCCAGACUCCUACGGGAGGCAGCAGUGGGGAAUAUUGGACAAUGGGCGAAAGCCUGAUCCAGCCAUGCCGCGUGUGUGAAGAAGGUCUUCGGAUUGUAAAGCACUUUAAGUUGGGAGGAAGGGCAGUAAGUUAAUACCUUGCUGUUUUGACGUUACCGACAGAAUAAGCACCGGCUAACUUCGUGCC
rnacentral:rRNA from 1 species